GCUUAGCCCAAGCCCAACUAAACCCCCAAACAUAUUACACCUACUAAACAAAUCAUUUGACCAAAAAAGUAUUUGAGAAAGAACAUUAAAAUCGGCGCAACACUACCGCAAGGGACACCUGAAAGAAAAAUGAAACACUUAAGCACAACAAAGCAAAGAUUAACCCUUGUACCUCUUGCAUCAUGAUUUAGCGAGCAACCCUAGACAAAGAGCCCUUAAGCCUGAUCUCCCGAAACUACGUGAGCUACUUCCGGGCAAUAUAUGAAUCAACUCGUCUCUGUGGCAAAAGAGUGAGACGACCUUGAAGUAGUGGUGAAAAGCC
rnacentral:rRNA from 1 species